AUUGAACGCUGGCGGCAGGCCUAACACAUGCAAGUCGAGCGGAUGAAGGGAGCUUGCUCCUGGAUUCAGCGGCGGACGGGUGAGUAAUGCCUAGGAAUCUGCCUGGUAGUGGGGGAUAACGUCCGGAAACGGGCGCUAAUACCGCAUACGUCCUGAGCGAGAAAGUGGGGGAUCUUCGGACCUCACGCUAUCAGAUGAGCCUAGGUCGGAUUAGCUAGUUGGUGGGGUAAAGGCCUACCAAGGCGACGAUCCGUAACUGGUCUGAGAGGAUGAUCAGUCACACUGGAACUGAGACACGGUCCAGGCUCCUACGGGAGGCACCAGUGGGGAACAUUGGACAACGGGGGGAAGCAUGGUCCAGCCAGGGCGAGUGUGUGAAAAAGGUCUUCGGAUUGUAAAGCACUUUAAGUUGGGAGGAAGGGCAGUAAGUUAAUACCUUGCUGUUUUGACGUUACCAGCAGAAUAAGCACCGGCUAACUUCGUG
rnacentral:rRNA from 1 species